rnacentral:rRNA from 1 species
CCGGUGGCCGCAGAGAAUAGGCCCAAGCGACUGUUUACCAAAAACAUAGGUUUCUGCUAAGUCGCAAGACGAUGUAUAGGAGAUGACGCCUGCCCGGUGCUGGAAGGUUAAGGGGAUCUGUUAGAGAAAUCGAAGCAGUGAACUUAAGCCCCAGUAAACGGCGGCCGUAACUAUAACGGUCCUAAGGUAGCGAAAUUCCUUGUCGGGUAAGU